GGGCGCCAAAUUUUUCCUGUAUAAAAACAGGUACAGCGGAGAUGGACAGACAGCACCACUUGAGGAAGGCUUUAUCGCCGAAACGUGUUGUGGCACAUUUUAUGAAUAUUUUUCUGUUAUUGGUUUUUAUUUAUAUUCUUUUAUCUUGUAUUGAUAAACAAGUAUUAAUUUGAUCCUGUAUCCUGGACUAAUUGUACAGACUACAUCCAGGGAGGAUUCAUCUAGACCAACACAGAACGUCCUGCUCUAAAAGGUUUAUCUCCGCUACAAGCCUAUAGUCUGAGUCAGCUUUUUUAAGUGACUCAGCAACAUGUGAGUUUAACCAGUUACAUAUGGGCUUUGCGUACAUUUAUGACAAUAUUACCCUAUGGUUCUUUUAUGUCUUUUUAGAUAUAUGUCCAAGACAGUACUGGUAAACUUUUUAUACUGCAUGUAUUGAAUGCUCUCACCAUUAUUUUUAUUUGCACUUUGUAGAUUCUUGUGUGUUAAAGUGAUUCACACUAGGUGAUAGUAGCACCACGAUAUUAUUUGCACUUUUUUCCUAACUUCAACUCCUAUUUGUUACAGAUGAAAGCAGGUUCACAUUGAGCACAUAUGACAGACGUGACAGAGUCUGGAGAUGCCGUGGAGAAAGUUCUGCUGCCUGCAACAUCCUCCAGCAUUGCCGGUUUGGCAGUGGGUCAGUAAUGGUGUGGGGUGGCAUUUCUUUGUGCUCGCCAGAGGUAGCCUGACUGCCAUUAGGUACCGAGAUGAGAUCCUCAGACCCCUUAUGAGACCAUAUGCUGGUGCUGUUGGCCUUGGGUUACUCCUAAUGCAAGACAAUGCUAGACCUCAUGUGGCUGGAGUGUGUCAGCACGUCCUGCAAGAUGAAGGCAUUGAUGUUAUGGACUGGCCCUCCCGUUCCCCAGACCUGAAUCCAAUUGAGCACAUCUGGGACAUCAUGUCUUGCUCCAUCCACUAACGUCACAUUGCAGCACAGACUGUCCAGGAGUUGGCAGAUGCUUUAGUCCAGGUCUGGGAGGAGAUCCCUCAGGAGACCAUCCGCCACCUCAUUAGGAGCAUGUACAGGCAUUCUAGGGAGGUCACACACUACUGAGCUUCAUUUUGACUUGUUUUAAGGACAUUACAUCAAAGUGGGAUCAGCCUGUAGUGUGUUUUUCCCACUUUAAUUUUGAGUGUGACUCCAAAUCCAGACAUCCAUGGGUUGAAAAACCUGAUUUCCAUUUUUUCAUUUUUGUGUGAUUUUGUUGUCAGCACAUUCAACUAUGUAAUGAACAAAGUAUUUCAG